GAUUUUUAAGAAUUUUUAGUAAUUAUACCUAGAGAGGAAAUUUGCACGACGAAAUGUGGCCCCAACAUUAGUUUGUAUAAGAUACAUAUUUCGUAUAAUUUUAUAUCAAUACAUGUAUGCGUUGACGCUUUUGAUUU